AUGAUUUUAGUGCUUGCACUAAAUGAAAGCUAGAUACAAGCGAGCGGCGGACGGGUGAGUAACACGUGGGUAACCUGCCCAAGAGACUGGGAUAACACCUGGAAACAGAUGCUAAUACCGGAUAACAACACUAGACGCAUGUCUAGAGUUUGAAAGAUGGUUCUGCUAUCACUCUUGGAUGGACCUGCGGUGCAUUAGCUAGUUGGUAAGGUAACGGCUUACCAAGGCAAUGAUGCAUAGCCGAGUUGAGAGACUGAUCGGCCACAUUGGGACUGAGACACGGCCCAAACUCCUACGGGAGGCAGCAGUAGGGAAUCUUCCACAAUGGACGAAAGUCUGAUGGAGCAACGCCGCGUGAGUGAAGAAGGGUUUCGGCUCGUAAAGCUCUGUUGGUAGUGAAGAAAGAUAGAGGUAGUAACUGGCCUUUAUUUGACGGUAAUUACUUAGAAAGUCACGGCUAACUACGUGCCAGCAGCCGCGGUAAUACGUAGGUGGCAAGCGUUGUCCGGAUUUAUUGGGCGUAAAGCGAGUGCAGGCGGUUCAAUAAGUCUGAUGUGAAAGCCUUCGGCUCAACCGGAGAAUUGCAUCAGAAACUGUUGAACUUGAGUGCAGAAGAGGAGAGUGGAACUCCAUGUGUUAG
rnacentral:rRNA from 1 species